rnacentral:misc_RNA from 1 species
UAACUUUGACAGGUGCAAGACGAAAGAUCGCAUAAUUUCGCAAAUUGGUGAUAUACAUACAUUUACUUUAUAAAAACGAAGAGAAGAUAAUAAAAUUGUGUUUCUUACAUUUUUUUAACAUAUAAACAUAAAGCAUGGCUGGCCCGAUGGAAAGAAUUACAGUUCUCGACGAUAUUGAAAAGGAAAUUAUAACAUGUUUACAAUGUGCAGCACAAGCUCUCCUCGAACUAGGCAAAGAAAAGUCUAGCCAAAAGCAGGCAGAAUCCAACACGUCUCAAUUUCUGAGGACACUCAGUCAGGUCGAGAGCAAAUUGAGUGAUCAGAUCAACUAUUUGACGCAAGUUUCCACCGGUCAGCCGCACGAGGGUUCGGGCUACGCUUCACAGAAAGUGCUGCAGAUGGCGUGGCACCGGCUGGAGCAUGUACGCUCCUGGGUCAACGAACUGGACCGCCUAAAAGCUUCACAUUUAGCGGCUAGCACCAGGAGUGUGGCUAGCAACGUCCCCAAUGGAAACAUGACUAACUCUGGAACGAGCACAUGAUUACAGUGUUACAACAUAUUUCAGUAAAUCAUCCAAUUGUACAUAAACAUGGUAUGAUACAGUGGAUUGGUACAUUCUCAGUGAAAGGACUAUGUAGCCCCAAGUAGGGUAAUUGAUGAAGGACUUGUGUAAUCACUAAUCAUAAUUGAUAAUUAGGUUGGAAAGGAUGUAUGCUAAUGAAUGUGUUUAAUCAAGCAAUGUUUUGUUACAUAUUUAGUAUACUAUUAUACAAACUUAACAACAAUGAUCAUUAUCAUUAGAUAAUGUUACUUUCAUGAUAAAUUAGAAUUAAUAAUGGUAUUAUUAGUGCAUUAGCAACAAAACUAAUGUACUACAAUGUAAUAAAAUGCAGUUUAACUGAAUAUGACACUGGUAUUAGUGCCAUUCUCAAGCAGAAGGAACUGUUGCAUAAGGCGUAAAUACGACGACUUAUGUCGCUUGUGUGGGCCACAGCUAAGGAUGCUGUGACAGAUAAUUUUAUUGGUACAAGCAAACAUUCUUAUGUUAUAUAGCAACCAUGUUAUGCCUUUUACUUGAGAAAGUCACAUUUUUCAUGUACUAUAAUAUUGUUUUCCCUUCACUAGCUCGGAAACACGUGUUUUGUCCUUUAAUAUCAGUGGGUAAAAACGCAUUUUAUCCACUAGUAGGUAAAGUAAUUUGACCUCGAAUAAAGUCAAAUUAACUGCUUUAAAAUUCA